UCAGCCGCCGCGGUAAGACGUAGGUGGCGAGCGUUGUCCGGAAUUACUGGGCGUAAAGGGCGUGUAGGCGGCCUAUUAAGUCAGGCGUGAAACCACAGGGCUUAACCCUGUAACUGCGUUUGAAACUGACGGGCUUGAGGACAGGAGAGGGAAGCGGAACUCCGUGUGUAGCGGUGAAAUGCGUAGAUAUACGGAAGAACACCAGUGGCGAAGGCGGCUUCCUGGACUGUCCCUGACGCUGAGGCGCGAAAGCCAGGGGAGCGAACGGGAUUAGAUACCCCGGUAGUCCUGGCUGUAAACGAUGGGUACUAGGUGUGGGGGGUAUCGACCCCCCCCGUGCCGGAGUUAACACAAUAAGUACCCCGCCUGGGGAGUACGGCCGCAAGGUUGAAACUCAAAGAAAUUGACGGC
rnacentral:rRNA from 1 species